CCCUAGUCCUUUAGCGCCCGAACUAAAAUUCACGUGGACGUCCCAGGAAAACGGCAGUGUCCAGACGCCUCUGCAGUGCCCUCUUAGCACUGUCCAGGAAGGUUGCGAACGAUUUGCUGGCAGCGAUAGGAGUGAAGGGAAUGUGCGGGCCGAAACCAAGAAGAGACCGGGUUUCGCCAUGUGGGCCAGGCUGAUCUCGAAUUCCUGACCUCAAGUGAUCCGCCCGCCUCGGCCUCCCAAAGUGCUGAGAUUACAGGAGCUGGAGCACAAUGCCCUGUCUCAGCUCACUGAGACCUCUGCCUGCCAGGUUCAGUCGAUUCUCUUCCCUCAGUCUCCCGAGUAGCUGGGAUUACAGGCACCUGCCACCACGCCCAGCUAAUUUUCAUAUUUUUGGUAGAGACGGGGUUUCACCAUGUUGGCCAGGCUGGUCUCUAACUCCUGACCUUCAGGUGAUCCACCUGCCUUGGCCUCCCAAAGUGCUGGGAUUACAGGCGUGAGCCACUGCGCCCACAACUAUUGCAUUUUAUUUCACUGUAUGUAUGUAAUACCUUAACCACACACACAAAAUUACCUUGUUCAAAUCUCCCGAAGUUAGAAUUCUACAAUUUCCCCAAAGUCUUGCUGCAUCUCCAUACCCCUUGCCAGCUGCUGGAGCUGUCUUUUCAUCCUUUGCACCCUGGCAUACUCCUAUUCAUCCCUCAGAACCCAAAUGUCACCUCUUAUCUCUAAUAUGUUCCUAGACAUCCUUUUGCCAAAUACCCCUUCCUCUGUGUUUACAAUGCAGAUUUCUUCCUAGUGAAUGACAGUUAUUUUCUACUCUGCCUCCCUCAUGAAGGCACCAGACUUGAUCUAAGUAGGCUGUCCUCUCAGGCCCUGCCACAGGGCCACAGAAGGACUUCACACAUGUCAGUCGAGGUCACUGGGCUGAUCUGGGAAUGAGGAGCCUGGGUUGCUACUCCCAAGGUCACUCACAUAGCUGUGUGACCGUGAUUAUUUUCCACCACGUCCUGGCCUCAGUUUCCUUAUCUGUAAAAAGGGAAUGACACCACAGUCCUUGCAAAAUUGAAGGGAUUAUUUCUUUGAAGACCAGCAGGCAAUAGGGGGCAGUAGUAUCCCAGGAUCCAGUUUCCCACUUCAGGUUUCAAGAAACAGGAGCCGUUGCCAUGAUGCAGGCUUCCUGCCUGUGACAAUGUACAGCUGACCCUUGAACAACACGGGGGUUAGGGGCACUGACCCCUGCACAGUCCAAAAUCCUGGGCUCUUUUUUUUUUUUUUCUGAC